ACUAGAAUAGUAAACAACGGAACUUUACUAUUUCGCAUUGUGAACAUUAUGAUAGUUGGAGACUUUUACUUCAUGCAUAGUUGCUUCAUACUAAUGCUAUUUAUGCUAAGUAGAGAUAUCAUGUUGUAGUAAGUUACAUUUUUACUUACCUUUCGCUUUUCUACAUUUAUAGUCACUGACAUCUUUUGUAGCUUUGGGCCUUGUGGUGCAUUCACUGAAGUCAGUAAUUGCCCACUGGGAACUAUUUUUAAUAGUUCUCACGCCCCCGUUUUAUGGUUUACUUUUCAGAGCCUUCGGCACAGGCGGAGGCACGGGAUCGCGGCAAGGGGAUCGCUUAGCUAGCUAGCGAGGAGCGGUACUUUGCCUAGGUGGUUUACUCUUUCUUUUUGUAGUUGAGAGAGUGAGAGGUUUUUGUAUCC
rnacentral:lncRNA from 1 species